CCAAGUCUUACAAAGAAAUGAUUACACGAUAUUAUCGAUACCAUACGAAAUCUCGAAACAUACAUAGGCUGAUGGAAAGAAGAAACUUCACAGAACGAACAUAAUCGCUCGCCAGACAGGAUAAACCAGUAGAAGUAUAAUACCAAUGGAGUUGGAAAUGCCAUUUUUCUUGGUGAACGAGUUCCUGAAACCGCCCGAUGCACGGAUGUGCUCUUGCAAGAGGUAGCAACCAAUUACUAGACAUACGACGCAACCGAUAAUACCACCCCUCACAUAAUGGCCAGCAAAGAAGCUAGGAGCAACCACCAGAAGAAGAAUCAAUGCUGCAGGCAGCUCCAGCCAAUCUGGGAAAUGUCGAGGGAAGAAGAGCCGCAGGACAAUAGCGACGAAUGCAAUCCAACUGCCAACCUGUCCUCUAAAUAAAGAGAACAAUACGGAAGGAAGACUCAAGAAAAUGUAAGGGAUUAGAAGUGAAGUUAACAUGUUUGUCUUCCAGUUUGUUCGAUCCAAGACCAGCAAGUAUAUUGCUGCUGCGGAGGCGAGGAAUCUGAGAAAGGUGGUGCCGAUCCCUAGGCCGGACCCGAGAACCAACGCAUGCUCGGCGAGCUUCUGGGCGGCGAUCCCCAGCUCCCUGAGAUCGGUCUCGAGCAGCGAGCUGCUCAGCUCGUCCGUCUUCAUCGCCAGAAACCCCGACUUGCCCAUCUCCAAA
rnacentral:misc_RNA from 1 species